CAUUGCAAGUGUCCCAUCUCGCCUUGGUGCAUGAACUGACGAAGCCUGCAAGAAUAAGAGGGAAGACAACCACAACUGCCCAGUUGCCAUCUAUUCAACACAGAUGAAAUGAACAGAACGAAUGAAACACAGCAAAACAAGGGUACGAUGCAAGUUGCCUUCCGCAGGGCCAGGUAACCUGUGACGACAUCUGUGGGAAGGAGGCGGAUGUAGGAGAAUUCCUCUGUGGAGGUGAAGCGAAGUUUGGUCUGCGGGUCUGUGUAACUUGCCUGAGCAAAAGUAGGAAAUACUGCCGCUCCGCCGAUGCCAGAGUGCUGCCAAGAUGGAAAGAUAACACCAUCAUUCUAAGAUGUGGCCACAAGAUCAUACAGCGUGCUCUCCACCAUUCCAACCGGCUUCAUGUCAGGGACAACUUCUACUACUGACAUCUGAUUGGAACACAGACUUUGGAAUGUCAACAGAAAUGGAAAUGACAUCUUGAGAGAAUGUAAG